rnacentral:rRNA from 1 species
CUACGGGUGGCAGCAGGCGCGAAACCUUUACAAUGCACGAAAGUGUGAUAAGGGGAUCCCAAGUGCCUUGCUUUUAGCAAGGCUUUUGUUAUGUGUAAAUAGCAUGACGAAUAAGGGGUGGGCAAUACCUGUGCCAGCCGCCGCGGUAACCCAGGAGCCACAAGUGGCAACCACUUUUAUUGGGCCUAAAGCGUCCGUAGCCGGCUUAGUAAAUUUCCUGUGAAAUCGUUGGGCUUAACCUAACGUCGUGCAGGAAAGACUACUAGGCUAGGGACUGGGAGGCGUCAGAGGUAUUCCUGAGGGAGCGGUAAAAUGCUAUAAUCUUAGGAGGACCCCCUGUGGCGAAGGCGUCUGACGAGAACAGAUCCGACGGUGAGGGACGAAAGCUAAGGGAGCAAACCGGAUUAGAUACCCCUGUAGUC